rnacentral:rRNA from 1 species
GACGAACGCUGGCGGCGUGCCUAACACAUGCAAGUCGAACGGAAAGGCCCUGCUUUUGUGGGGUUCUCGAGUGGCGAACGGGUGAGUAACACGUGAGUAACCUGCCCUUGACUUUGGGAUAACUUCAGGAAACUGGGGCUAAUACCGGAGAGGAGCUCCUGCAGCAUGGUGGGGGUUGGAAAGUUUCGGCGGUUGGGGAUGGACUCGCGGCUUAUCAGCUUGUUGGUGGGGUAGUGGCUUACCAAGGCUUUGACGGGUAGCCGGCGUGAGAGGGUGGCCGGCGACAUUGGGCCUGCGGUAGGGACCAGUCGCGUAUGGGAGGCAGCGGUGGGGAGUAUUGCACAGUGGGCGGGAGCGUGUGACGGCGGCGCUCCGAGCGGAAAGCCGGCUUUCGGGUUAUGAACCGCUUUCGCCUGUGACGAAGCGUUAGUGACGGUAAUGGGUAAAGAAGCACCGGCUAACUACGUG